rnacentral:rRNA from 1 species
GACGAACGCUGGCGGUGCGCCUUAUGCAUGCAAGUCGAGCGAAGCUUUUCAGUAGUUCUACCAGAAAAUGCUGAGCGGCGAACGGGUGAGUAACGCGUGAGCAAUCUACCUUAGUUACAGGGAUAGCCCGAGGAAACUCGGAUUAAUACCUGAUAUUCUUUAUAUUUCGCAUGAAAUUAAAAGGAAAGGUCAGCCGAACUAAGAUGAGCUCGCGUUCUAUCAGCUAGUUGGUGAGGUAAAAGCUCACCAAGGCUACGACGGAUAGCUGGUCUGAGAGGACGAUCAGCCACACUGGGACUGAGACACGGCCCAGACUCCUACGGGAGGCUGCAGCAGGGAAUAUUGCGCAAUGAGCGAAAGCUUGACGCAGCGACACCGCGUGUGGGAUGACGGAUCUAGGUUUGUAAACCACUUUCAGGAGGGAAGAAAAUGACGGUACCUCCACAAGAAGCCCCGGCCAACUACGUG